GGACGCUUAGCUCAGCUGGGAGAGCACCUGCUUGACGUGCAGGGGGUCAGGGGUUCGAGCCCCUUAGCGUCCACCA
rnacentral:tRNA from 2 species